CCCAGACUCCUACGGGAGGCAGCAGUGGGGGAUAUUGCACAAUGGGGGGAACCCUGAUGCAGCGACGCCGCGUGGGUGAGGAAGUACCCCGGUAUGUAAAGCCCUUUCGGCAGGGAAGAAAAUGACGGUACCUGGCGAAGAAGCCCCGGCUAACUACGUGCCAGCAGCCGCGGUAAUACGUAGGGGGCAAGCGUUAUCCGGAUUCACUGGGUGUAAAGGGAGCGUAGACGGCGACGCAAGUCUGGAGUGAAAGCCCGGGGCCCAACCCCGGGACUGCUCUGGAAACUGCGUCGCUGGAGUACGGGAGGGGCAGGCGGAAUUCCUGGUGUAGCGGUGAAAUGCGUAGAUAUCAGGAGGAACACCGGCGGCGAAGGCGGCCUGCUGGACCGUGGCUGACGUUGAGGCUCGAGAGCGUGGGGAGCAAACAGGAUUAGAUACCCUAGUAA
rnacentral:rRNA from 1 species